UAUGUGGCCUGAAACAGAAUGGCUAAACCAUAAAAUGUACUUAUUAUUUUUACUAUCAGUUUUGUUUCAUGAGAUAUAGUCUAUGAGUGACCACGUAAGUCUCAGAAGCUCACUUUCUCAUUUUCAAAGUAGAGCAUUAACAAAAUUUUCAAAUAUUUUCUUCUUUGGUGGUAGAGCAUAGUUAGUAGUUGCUCUCACCAUUUAAAGUCUCCCAACACUGAAAAACAAUUAUUAAGAGUUCUCUUUUCCAAAGUAAGUAAACAAUCUCAAGUCUUUAACCCUCAGGGCUAACAUUUUUCAUUUUAUUCUGAGUCAGACCCUGGCCUCAUGAAGAGGACAAGAGCUGGUUCUGCUGUUAUUGAUGAAUACAAUCAAACACACAAUUCCCAAAUUACUAUGUCUUCUUUGCCUUGUGGAUGGGCUAAGGUAUAUUACAAAUAAAAAAAGUAAACCUAAUAAUGAGGCUGAAAAAAAUGUUUCCUGAGCACCUACAAAAUUCAUUAUGAGCCUAUCAUUUCCUUUUCAACGUUAGAUGUUUGUAUAUUGUCACCAAACUUUCAAGUGAAGGCUUUCAAAAUACAGGAGAAUAAAGGGUGGGGAAAUGGAAGUAUGUAUUGAAUA
rnacentral:lncRNA from 12 species